UACGAAGGGGGCUAGCGUUGCUCGGAAUUACUGGGCGUAAAGCGCACGUAGGCGGCUUGUUAAGUCAGGGGUGAAUCCUGGAGCUCAACUCCAGAACUGCCUUUGAUACUGGCGAGCUUGAGUUCGGGAGAGGUGAGUGGAACUGCGAGUGUAGAGGUGAAAUUCGUAGAUAUUCGCAAGAACACCAGUGGCGAAGGCGGCUCACUGGCCCGAUACUGACGCUGAGGUGCGAAAGCGUGGGGAGCAAACAGG
rnacentral:rRNA from 1 species